rnacentral:lncRNA from 1 species
UCGUCGGCUAUUGUCCAGACUUUAGCCGACGAACUAUUUUCGUCGGCUAUUGUUCCAGCUUUUAGCCGACGAACUAUUUUUCGUCGGCUAUUGUUCCAGCUUUUAGCCGACGAACUAUUUUUCGUCGGCUAUUGUUCCAGACUUUAGCCGACGAACAUUUUUCGUCGGCUAUUGUUCCAGCUUUUAGUCGACGAACUAUUUUUCGUCGGCUAUUGUUCCAGACUUUAGCCGACGAACAGUAUAUUCGUCGGCUUUACUGACAAACUUUAGCCGACGAAUAUCUCUGUUUCGUCGGCUAAAGUAUAUAAUUAAAAUAUUUAAAAAUAACUAUAGCCGACGACAUAGAGUCUGUUUCGUCGGCUUUAAUAGUGUUUACCCGACGAAACAUACCAUAAUUCGUCGGCUAAACCCUUUGGAAAAAAAAAAAUUACUAUAGCCGACGAAUUGUGGCAUGUUUCGUCGGCUAUAACGCCAUUCCAGUAAAAAAAAUACACGAAAUUCUUAAAUUACCAUUCCAAGCAAGCUGCAAAAUACACCAAAACAAUUCCAUAUAUAUAACCUACAAGAAGCACAUAAAACUAUAUAAGGUAUCAACUACACAAAAUCUAGAUGGUCUAAAUCAAUAUCCGAAUCUCGGACCUGCUGGUGAGAAGAUUGCGGCGGCAGAGGUAACUCUAUAGGCGCAGGCAUGGGCGGAGGUGGAAGUCCCUGUUGCUGGGCAGCUGUAAAAUCCUGGAAGUACUGGAACAUCUGCUGCUGCUGGGCCUGCUGGGCGGCAUGUAGGGCUCUAGUAAAGGCUCUAUAUUCGGCGAUCUGGGCGGCAUGAGCGGCAGCCUGAGCAGCCUGAGCGUCAGCCUGAGCGGCAGCCUGAGCAGCAUGAGCGGCAGCCUGAGCGGCUUGCUGUUCCCGUAGUCUCUCAACUUCCGACUCUAGCUGAGUCGUCCUGCUGUUGGUCGAGCCCGCCUUUCGUUGAAAUCCUGGAGUGGUCUUCAGGACCCCCUGGCCCUUCUUUCCUAGACCCCGGCAGUAGAAGUUGUUUUCUCGCGGUGGGAAGGCUGUGCCUAUGAUCCUCGCCCCAACCCUCGGAUCUAAAGUGUCGAUCCGGGAAAUGGCUUCGGACAUCUCUUCCUCCUGCGUGUCCGGCCAUGUCUCCCUCACUAUAGCACUCAUCACCUCGUCACUAGCCUCCCUCACCUUUGCCUAAUUGGAUAGGAAAAAAUUAUUAAUUAACAUUUUGACAUAUAUAUAAGUAAAAUUAAAAAUUCCGUAAAAAGGAAAUAGUACUUACUAUAUCCUCCUGGGAUCAGGAUAUGCCUCUCGUACGUAUAGACGUACUGGUUGACCUCUGGAUGUUCCCUGGCCGCCUCGUCCAUGAAGACAGCGAACGG